GACGAACGCUGGCGGCGUGCCUAAUACAUGCAAGUCGAACGCUGAAGGAGGAGCUUGCUCUUCUGGAUGAGUUGCGAACGGGUGAGUAACGCGUAGGUAACCUGCCUGGUAGCGGGGGAUAACUAUUGGAAACGAUAGCUAAUACCGCAUAACAGUAGAUGUUGCAUGACAUUUACUUAAAAGGUGCAAUUGCAUCACUACCAGAUGGACCUGCGUUGUAUUAGCUAGUUGGUGGGGUAACGGCUCACCAAGGCGACGAUACAUAGCCGACCUGAGAGGGGGAUCGGCCACACUGGGACUGAGACACGGCCCAGACUCCUACGGGAGGCAGCAGUAGGGAAUCUUCGGCAAUGGACGGAAGUCUGACCGAGCAACGCCGCGGGAGUGAAGAAGGGUUUCGGAUCGUAAAGCUCUGUUGUAAGAGAAGAACGAGUGUGAGAGUGGAAAGUUCACACUGUGACGGUAGCUUACCAGAAAGGGACGGCCAACUACGUG
rnacentral:rRNA from 1 species